GAUGAACGCUGGCGGCGUGCCUAAUACAUGCAAGUAGAACGCUGAAGCUUGGUGCUUGCACCGAGCGGAUGAGUUGCGAACGGGUGAGUAACGCGUAGGUAACCUGCCUCUUAGCGGGGGAUAACUAUUGGAAACGAUAGCUAAUACCGCAUAAAAGUCGAUAUCGCAUGAUAUUGAUUUGAAAGGUGCAAAUGCAUCACUAAGAGAUGGACCUGCGUUGUAUUAGCUAGUUGGUGAGGUAACGGCUCACCAAGGCGACGAUACAUAGCCGACCUGAGAGGGUGAUCGGCCACACUGGGACUGAGACACGGCCCAGACUCCUACGGGAGGCAGCAGUAGGGAAUCUUCGGCAAUGGGGGCAACCCUGACCGAGCAACGCCGCGUGAGUGAAGAAGGUUUUCGGAUCGUAAAGCUCUGUUGUAAGAGAAGAACGAGUGUGAGAGUGGAAAGUUCACACUGUGACGGUAACUUACCAGAAAGG
rnacentral:rRNA from 1 species